GAUGAACGCUAGCGGCAGGCCUAAUACAUGCAAGCCAAGGGCUGUUUGGUGUAGCAAUACAUCAAACAACCGGCGGACGGGUGCGUAACGCGUAUGCCACCUACACUAUACAGGAGGAUAGCCCUCGGAAACGAGGAUUAAUACUCCAUAAGAUUGCUUAGAGGCAUCUUUAAGAAAUUAAAGCCGCAACGCGGUAUAAGAUGGGCGUGCGUCCGAUUAGCGAGUGGGUGCGGUAACGGCUCACCAAGGCGAUGCUCGGGAGGGGUUCUGAGAGGAAGACCCCCCAGACGGGAACUGAGACACGGGCCCGACUCGGACGCGAGGCAGCAGAAAGUAAUAUUAGACAAUGGGUGAAAGCCUGAUCCAGCCACGCCGCGUGCAGGAAGAAUGCCCUAUGGGUUGUAAUCUGUUUUGGAGAGAGAGAAAUAAGGGCGAUGCGUCGCUCGAUGAUAGUACUUCUCGAAUAAGCAGCGGCUAACUUCGUG
rnacentral:rRNA from 1 species